UUAUACCACAAUUCCACCCUGAACAGGUCAACCUCAUCUCAUUUCAGAAGCUAAGCAGGGUUGGGUCUGGUGAGCAUUUGGGUGGGAGACCUCCAGGUAAUUAUGGGGUGUUGGAGGGA
rnacentral:rRNA from 1 species